rnacentral:rRNA from 1 species
AACGAACGCUGGCGGCAGGCCUAACACAUGCAAGUCGAGCGAGCAUUUCGGUGCUAGCGGCGGACGGGUGAGUAACGCGUGGGAACGUGCCCUUUUCUGCGGAAUAGUCCUGGGAAACGGGGGGUAAUACCGCAUACGCCCUUCUGGGGAAAGAUUUAUCGGAGAAGGAUCGGCCCGCGUUGGAUUAGGUAGUUGGUGGGGUAAUGGCCCACCAAGCCGACGAUCCAUAGCUGGUUUGAGAGGAUGAUCAGCCACACUGGGACUGAGACACGGCCCAGACUCCUACGGGAGGCAGCAGUGGGGAAUCUUAGACAAUGGGGGCAACCCUGAUCUAGCCAUGCCGCGUGAGUGAUGAAGGCCUUAGGGUUGUAAAGCUCUUUCAGCUGGGAAGAUAAUGACGGUACCCGCAGAAGAAGCCCCGGCUAACUCCGUG